rnacentral:rRNA from 1 species
UGAGGAAUAUUGGUCAAUGGGCGAGAGCCUGAACCAGCCAAGUAGCGUGCAGGAAGACGGCCCUAUGGGUUGUAAACCGCUUUUAUAUGGGGAUAAAGUGAGUUACGUGUAGCUUAUUGCAGGUACCAUAUGAAUAAGGACCGGCUAAUUCCGUGCCAGCAGCCGCGGUAAUACGGAAGGUCCAGGCGUUAUCCGGAUUUAUUGGGUUUAAAGGGAGCGUAGGCCGCCCCUUAAGCGUGUUGUGAAAUGCCGCGGCUCAACCGUGGCACUGCAGCGCGAACUGGGGGGCUUGAGUGCACGCAACGCAGGCGGAAUUCGUGGUGUAGCGGUGAAAUGCUUAGAUAUCACGAAGAACUCCGAUUGCGAAGGCAGCUCACUGGAGCGCAACUGACGCUGAAGCUCGAAAGUGCGGGUAUCG